rnacentral:rRNA from 1 species
AGUGAACGCUGGCGGCGUGCCUAAUACAUGCAAGUCGAACGGAGUGGCGCACGGGUGAGUAAUAUAUAGCUAAUCUGCCCCUUGCUGGAGGACAACAGUUAGAAAUGAGUGCUUAUACUCCAUAGAAAGGGAUGAGACUAUAUCGUAUCAGCUAGUCGGUGGGGUAACGGCCUACCGAGGCUAUGACGCGUAACUGGUCUGAGAGGAUGAUCAGUCAAAUUGGAACUGAGGCACGAGCCAAACUCCUUCGGGAGGGAGCAGUAGGGAAUAGUGCGCAAUGGGGGUGACCCUGACGCAGCUACGCGGCGUAGAGGAUGACACUUUUCGGAGCAUAAACUCCUUUUGUUAUGGAAGCGGUACCUAACGAAUAAGCACCGGCUAACUCCGUGCCAGCAGCCGCGGUAAUUC